UCCGGGGUAGUGUAACGGCUAACACGUCUUCGCAACUUUCGGGUUGCAUUUAAAGGAAUACGGGGUUCAACUCCCCGCCUCGGAG